UUUAAGCUUUACUGGUAAAGGAAGACCUCGGGUGACCUUCCGUGCAUUAUUUCUGGAAAGAACAAGCACCUGAGUAGUACCACCGAUCUACUUUCCGUAAGCUAGCUGGAUAUCUUCCUCACAUGAAAGAAUCCAAAGUCCCUGUCGGGAUUGGAACCCCAGUAGUAAGGGGCAAGUGGUUUGAAAUCAACGACCUUAACCACUCAUCCCACGAACUAAAGAUAGUAACAUAGUGGGACGUAAUGGGCCUUUAACAAAUUACCUGUCCUGUAACUAGCUGAUACGGUACGAUGUAUUAAGUAAUACAUGUACAUAUAACUGCGGUUAUUGAUUUAACAUUAACUUUUGACAUUAGUCAUAUAAAUCAAUAUUAAUUUAUAAAAAUCUGGAAACAAACUGUUACUUUAUAAAAUGUAUGUGUGAAGGUUAACGUGCACAUUUGCCUACAUGUCAGGCACUUACAAACAUGCGGCCACACAUGUUUGUAUUAUGUGUGUACGGAUAUUGCAUUCUAGCACGAGUUAUUUGUGAUACUGGAAAUGUUCCAAUUUAUGUAUACCAUCAACGUUCAGUACUGUCACAAGUAUUUUCUUAUUUCUAUGGUGUUGUGAUAUUGCUUACAAUAUUUGCAUUGCUGGCUCCCGGAAACCAGAUCCAUCCAGACGUGGAGGACAUGUUUUAUUUCAAACCAAAAUAUGAUAGAAAAUAAUGUUAACAUUAUAUGCCAAACUUUUCAAUCAUAUUGAUCUUAGCUUUUGCUUGAAUAAGAUUAAUAUCUUUUUUAAUAUUUAAUGGGUUUUAGAAAUAGUUUAAUUAUUUGGUAUUGUUAAAAUCAUUUAAAAAACAUAGAAAUGAUUGUUGUCUGACAACAUGUAAGUCAUGUACACAUUUGUAAAUGAUUUAAAAGGUACAUAAUUAUUUAAUCUUGCGGGAAAAGAACAACUUUCCCUAUACCUUU